CCUGGCCAAGGCCCUUGUGCAAGCAUUUUCUCCAUUUUAUUCACUGGCUCACUGGUGACAGUUUCUCGGCGGCGGCAGCACUGACCACAGCAUGGGUCGCGCUUUGUCCAGGCCGGCGUGAAGCUCCGCACUCCGGAUGAAGCGCUCGUGUACUGCUCACAAAACCUUAGGAAGCAAAUGCUGCUCUUCCCAGCUUUUCCAGAAAACAUCCUGAGAAGCAUCCACAGGCUUCCCCAGACCAUCAAAGUGGUUCAUGGCUCAGAAAAGAUUCAGAAUCCCUGCCUAGCCAGACGAAGAGAUGUUCCACUGAUACUUAUUUCAGAAACAGCCUUAUUGGAAACCCUUUGGGGGCCUCUGCCAGCCAUAUUUCGACAAUGAUUCUGAAUUCAAAGGAGCUGGAGUGUGGAGAAUGGCGAAGUGCAGGACAGGGGAAGACGACACGUGCUAGAGAAACCAGACCAGAAGAGGCGGCCUCUGCCUCGGUUUUUUCUGUCACUUCCCUCAGAGUUCCACUGUGCCUUCCAUCUGGGCCUGGUGAUCUGCUAGUUGUUAUGGUGAUAAUAAUCCUCAAAUUCCUCACUAUUGGUAUGAGCCUCAGUAUUUUCAGUGGCACCAAAACAAAAGUAGAUUUAUUGCAAAUGUAUUGCAUAGUUUUCAGUGAAGCUCAACCUUGGCCCAUCAUACAGAAAUGCCUGAUAAACUGUUCCUGCUUUGCUGGCUGUAAAACCCAACUGGAAGCUGCUCCAAGCUCAAGAUGAACACGGUGUGUUUCAUUUUUAAAAAGAAAAAGAAGAAAAAAGAAAAGAGAAGAAAAGAAAGGUCCUUGUUAACUUUAUUAAGGCAUUUUAAAUAAAGAUGUUUGCUGACUGAC